CAAUAGGCUUUGCUCCUGCCUUCGCUUCCAGGAGGAAUCCUAUCAUCCAUGGUGAAGAUAUCGUAUAAUAAGAAAUUACUUAAGUCAUCGGUUCGAAUCCUGUCCCCGCCUAAUCCAUCUGAGGCCCGGCCUCAAGAUUUGAGAUUCCGUAAGUAACUCAGUGCAAGGACUUGGAAGAAGAAAAUGAAAUAGGAACAAGCGCGCUGGUUGUUUAGUUCGAAAUGGAGAUUCCUUUCCCCUAUGAUUCUAGGAACAAUCCUCACCGCCCUUUCAAUUCUAUCCAUAAGCCUCUAUCGAAGAAGCCAAUUAAACAAAAGAAAGAAAAGAGACGAUGGCCUUAUGCUUGAACAGCCUUCUUCUCAAAAGAAGCG
rnacentral:lncRNA from 1 species